AUACCUCCCUUGUAUUUCCAGGAGUAACUUUGUUUCAGUUUUCCCAAAUCAAAUGUAUUCCUGCUUGUAAGUCAUAACAGUAAUUUUGGGUGAAAUAAAGCAGCAUGGCUCAUUGUCAAGAACUCUUUAUUACAUUCUUAGUGUAAAUGUGUUCAUUCACAAUAGUGCACAACCCUAUGACUGGUUUAAAUUGGUCCGAUAGAUGGAAUAGCUACGUGCUUGUAAGCAGGCUUCCUUUGGCCUUAAUAUCCUUUCCUCGUUUGUAAAAUUUUAUCACUCUGGGCAUCCAAAAUUCCAUAUUGAGUGUGGAGAAUAAGUACAAUCUGACUAGUCGUACAUUUGUGCUUGCUCCUUUAGAUAUUCCGUGUUCUUCAUAGAAAAAAGGGAUGCUUAUAAAAAAACUCAUAGCC
rnacentral:lncRNA from 1 species